AGAGGAUGCAACGUGCUGUAUCACCCAUCAGAAUUGUCAGACCGAUCAACUUAGCCGUGCUCAGUUGAUGCUGAUGAUCUGAAGAUGUUGCCACGAAAGAAGACGUCCUGGGUGUGUGUUGCCCUGUGGACUCUUGCUCUGGUGCUGAUUUCCCCGAGAGUGGAAAGUGUGAAGGACAUUGAAGAUGUACCUGAAGAAUUUCAGCGCUUAGAAAACUACCGAGUCGUCUU